rnacentral:rRNA from 1 species
AGGAUGAACGCUGGCGGCGUGCCUAAAACAUGCAAGUCAUACGGGCUACCUUCGGGUAGCCAGUGGCAAACGGGUGAGUAACACGUGGGAACGCGCCUUGGGGUGGGGAAUAACGCUGAGAAAUCAGUGUUAAUACCGCAUAUGGUCUAACGACUAAAGCAGCAAUGCGCCCCGAGAGCGGCCCGCGACCGAUUAGCUAGUUGGUGGGGUAAUGGCCUACCAAGGCGGUGAUCGGUAGCUGGUCUGAGAGGAUGGUCAGCCACACUGGGACUGCGAACGGCCCAGACUCCUACGGGAGGCAGCAGUUAGGAAUUUUCGGCAAUGGACGAAAGUCUGACCGAGCGACGCCGCGUGGAGGAUGACGCCUUUCGGGGUGUAAACUCCUUUUCUGCGGGAAGAUAAUGACGGUACCGCAGGAAUAAGCACCGGCUAACUACGCGCCAGCAGCCGC